UGAACAAAGUAGACAUGGUCCCAAUCCUUCUGGAACUUUUGUGAAAGUGGCUUAUGUGAAUUAGCAAGCCUUGGCUGUUCAUUCUGGCUUUUCCAAAGCCAUUGGAAAAGCCAGAAUGAAAAGAGGCUGAUGCAUAAUGUUAGUAGGAUGAAGAAUUCCUUUUCUAAUCUGAUCCUUUAACACUCUCAGAAAUGAAGAAUGAAUAAGUAAUGAUUUCAAAGCCCAUGGAAAAUCAUGAGGUCACAGAUUGUGUCUUCUGAAUUAAUAUGAAUUAAUAAUUAAUUGAUGAGCAAACUGAAGUUCAGAGAGGUUGGAUAAUUUAUUUAGCAUGGCACAACUACUUCAUUGAAGAGAAAGGAUUCAAACUGAGGUCUUUUGGUCAUGGCAACACAAAGCUGACUACAACAACAGAGAAGAACAAGAGACACACUGAAUCUACCCUCAGAUAUAGCUCACAAACAAGGAGAGAUUCAUAGAAUUAAGUAAUUGUGACUCAGUGCACUAAUAGGAUCCCUGAGAAGCAACACCUAAUCAGCCUGCAGGCAUCCAGGUCCGGCUGAGUUUGGCUGAAUAUUCAAGGAAGAGCUAAUACCAUACUGGUGCCAACUUUACUGAAGAAUAGAAAAUAAAGGAAUAUUCUACCUUAUAAAUGCAUGAGUAAAUAAAAGAUUAGAAAAUUAGUAAAUGUCUUAAAAUAAAUUCUGAUUCAAAUAGGAAUGUAAAGAUGGUUGGGCAUUA